UCUCAGUACAGCCCUGGCUGCCAGGAGGAUAACUGGGCUCCUCCUUUUCACCAGUGGUCUUUUCCAUCGCCCUUUGAUCCUGCAUCUCAGGACAGUGAUAAGUGACCUCAAAGUUUACCAGAGCCAGGAUCGGCAACACCGAGAACAUGCUGGACAAUGCAGUUUGAACAGGAAAGAAAAAAAUAAUAACCACCGUUAUUAACUGAAGAACCACAGAGAACCAUAAACAUUUACUGUUUGGCCUGACAAUAAAGGAAAAUGGACAUAACAAAUUUCCAAAAUUCAUGUGAACUGCAAAGUGUCAAUAGCCUUUGGUGACUAUGGAUGGGGGAUAUUUCAGAAAUAUGCCUUCUCAGGGCAAAUAAAAGCUUACACUUGA